GGGCCUAUUAUUUCUUUCUCUCCCUCUCUCUCUCUCUCUCUCUCUCUCUCUCACACACACACACACACACACACAGAGAGAGAGAGAGAGAGAGGGAGAGAGAGAGAGAGAGAGAGAGAAAGAGAGAGAGAGAGAAUGCUCUUCAAA